rnacentral:lncRNA from 1 species
UUCAACUUAAAUUCCUCGAGUUGUUUGGAUUCUCUUCCUCUGUAGUGUGUGGUUGAGUCACCAUGAAUUUAGAGUAAAUCAGCUGUGUUGUUUUAUUUAGGAUGAUGUCCGACAAUGGAGUUGGGGGACGUCAAGGAAGCCUUCAACAAAUUCAUAAUCUAACAAUAACAUGAUAUACACAAAUUAAAUAAAUAACUAGUUAUAACAAAGAUUGAGAUUAGAGAAAACCAAAAAUUACCUCAGUGAAGCCCAAAUCCACCUUGAUUUGCUCGGCGUUAUCCAUGUCUGUAAUGCCAAGAUAGCUAAUGACGCCUAAGAGUCCUGUCUCACUUGGAAAUAUGUGGAGAUCAUCAGAAUUAAGAAAGAUGAUGUAUUCAUGGUGAAAACUCCAUCUCUAGAUGCAGCAGCUUCAGAUCCUUUCUUAACUACUUCUAUUUCAUGUACCAUAUAUGAGCAAAAUUUGCUACUCUUACAUGAUCAUAGAGAUGCUUACGCUACGAAAUCUAAAGCUGAGGUGAAGAACAAUAGAAAUAUUCAGCAGGCUAGAAAAUCAGUGAUGUCGAGUUUCAGCCUCCCGUAUUCAUCUUCCAAUGAACUUGUUGGAUCAAGCAGAGUCUGCUUAGCUCCAUCAGUCCAGAGUAGGAACUGUCGAGAUUUACUAAGCUACGGUAUAAACUGCUUAAGCUACCAAUGGAAGGCGCCUCGUCUCCAUAGUGCUUCUCGAGGACUUUCACAAUUCUUCCCAAUGGCAAACUCAAGAAGCUUAACAAAAUGUCUGCAAAAUGGCUGUCGGAGUCUGCAAAGAGUACCUUAGUUCUCUCUUUAUUGAUCAUCACUUUCAACGAAAAUGUAGCACCCUUUUUAUCAUCAGUCAUUCUUGAAUUUGAUACAGAAGUCGUCACUGCACUAAUUAGUUUAUAUGUGUAUUGAUCUAAUAGUAGAAUAUAAUUAAUGUUUGAGGUUAAAGGUAUCAAGAUUGCUAUUUGGACAUAAUAUGUUCAUAUAUAAAAUGGUCAAAUAUAUAAAAAUCGAUUAAUUUAAAAAUUUUGGCUCAAAAUAAAAAAGGAUUUACUUAAUUAAAAAUAAAGACAGCUACAAUGUGAACAAAAUUUUAAAACUAGCUAAUUUUUUUUAUUUUUUUAAAUCGAAAAUUUAAUAUUAAUUUUAUUUUGUAUUAUUCAUUCAUGGACCCAAAAAAACCCAUCUUUUCGUCAAAUUCUGUCAUUAUUCAAAACCAAAAUCUAGUUUCCUGAGAGUCCAAUUAAAUCCUUCAUAAAGACUAAAAGAAGCUCGAAUUAAACAUCUCUUACUCGGGUAAUUCUAUCUAUAUCAAAGCCUAUUUUUCAGAAAAAAAUUAAAAUUUAGUGUAUUUUAUUUCAAAUUUAAAGAUUGCGAGCAAAAUCAAAAUACCGUCUAAAUUAUGUAUUUUGGGCAAUUUACCAUAAACAUAGUAGUAAUUAACUAAUUAAUAACAAUUAAAAAUAGCACAGUGUGAACAAGAGAUGAAUAAGUCAAGAAUUACCUGAUUUCCA